CCACAUCACUUUGAAUUACCAGUUCCCAUAUGAUCCCCAAAGUUAAGCCAUGUCAGGCCUUGCCAUUACCUAGAUGGGUAACUUUUUGGGAAUACCAAGUGCUGUAAG